ACAAUAACAAAAUAAACAGUUACAUUUCUAACAUUUCAAAACAACCAUCCUAAACCUAAAACCACAAAUUUUAGCCACCGAAGCUCCAUCUGCGUUCAAAGCCUACCCCUCUCGUCUCCAUCCGUCACCCGUGCCAGACGUCUCCGUUCAACCACAACUACCGCGCUGUCUCUCCUUCCCACAUCUUCUUCUCCGAUGUCCAUCUUCCGCACCGACGUCUGCGCCAGCAGCAAGGAGGCUGUUGCGGUAUCUAUGGUGCAAACUGUCCUAAAUGGAUUAUUAGCAUGGAGACUUUCUUCCUCAAACAAAAUCUGCAACAAGAGUACCCAUUCCACCAUCAUUGAAGUUGUAAGACAAUAAAUUAAUGUUUCCACUCAUUCAUUGCAACAAAAGCAUGGAGGUAAUAAUCCUAAAUGGAUUAUUAGCAUGGAGGUAAUGAUCAUUUUAAUGCACAAUCACUUUAAUAUCUUUGCAACAAAAGCAUUGUAAGAUAAUUAAUUAAUGUUUCUGAGCUUGCCAAAACUAAUCGGAUGACGCAUGAAUUCAGACUUUCUUCCUCAAACAAAAUCUGCAACACGAGUACCCCUUCCACCAUCAUUGAAGUUGUAAGACAAUUAAUUAAUGUUUCCACUCGUUCAUUGCAUUACUUAAACCCCAUUGAAGUCCCCAAAAGAAAGUCAUGGGUGAUAAAAAAGGCUCCCAUGUGAGUUUCGUUUAGUAACUUGGUGGCAGAUAUGCACAUAACAAAUUUCAAGAUUUAUGUAAAAAUAUUAUUUUUUAACUAGUUCAUUGUUAGUGUAGCACCCUGGCAUUGGCUUUGAAGUUGAUUAUACCUUCAAAUCACCAUUUUUAUCUAUGCAGGAAUCAUGGACUAUUUGUAGAAUAUUCAAGAGAAAUGCAUCGUUCAAGAGUACACACAUCAACUGAAAUGGAAGGAGGGUGAAGGAGGGUUGGAAUGUAGAAUUCAACAGAUUCAAGUUCCAAGACGAGUAAUUUAGAGUUAGAAGCUGGAAAGGAACACAGAUACCUCCAUGGAGGAUGCAGUUUCAAGGAAGGAGAUGAAAAGAUUUGUGGAGGAGAAUCGUUAGUUUUAUUCAGCUGGACAAUGGAAUUCUAAAGCUCAGACAAAUAAUAUCAGCUUCACAUCAAAUUUUGUGAAUUUGAAUCAGAAUGAGAUUUUCAGAGAGGAAAAUUUGGAAGAGAUUGUAAGAAUGGUGGAUUAUAUGAUGGAACCAGUCACCACAUAUGAUUGUAUAUUUUUUUGAAGAUAGUUAUGAUAUUUUUUA